GACCCUAUAACUCAGUCGGUUAGAGUGUGGAGCUAAUACGAACGUGUUACUCCAAAGUCGCCAGUUCGAGCCUGGUUAGGGUCA
rnacentral:tRNA from 1 species